GUCGCUUCAGGGACAUCCGAUAAAAUUGGAACGAUACAGUUAAGAUUAGCAUGGCCCCUGCGCAAGGAGAGUUCACAAGAUCCUAAAUUUUUU
rnacentral:snRNA from 1 species